AUCCACCUGACGAGUCUCGAAUAGGACGAAACGCGCGUCAAACUGGAU
rnacentral:hammerhead_ribozyme from 1 species